rnacentral:rRNA from 1 species
GACGAACGCUGGCGGCGUGCUUAGCACAUGCAAGUCGAACGGAAAGGCCCUGCUUUUGUGGGGUGCUCGAGUGGCGAACGGGUGAGUAACACGUGAGUAACCUGCCCUUGACUUUGGGAUAACUUCAGGAAACUGGGGCUAAUACCGGAUAGGAGCUCCUGCUGCAUGGUGGGGGUUGGAAAGUUUCGGCGGUUGGGGAUGGACUCGCGGCUUAUCAGCUUGUUGGUGGGGUAGUGGCUUACCAAGGCUUUGACGGGUAGCCGGCCUGAGAGGGUGACCGGCAACAGGGUGAAUGAGAGACGGCGCGGAAUCUGAGGGGGGGCAGCGUGGAGAAUUAUCGCAGUAGGGGUACAGGCCGGAUGUAGCAACGCGUGAUUCGGGAUGAUGGGCUGCGGGUGUACCGACGCUUGCGGCUGGGACGAGGGGGGGUGGCGGGUAAGGGGGCAAGCAGCGCCGGCAAUAUACGUGCGACCAGCCGAGGUAAUGGCUGAAAGGGAGAGGGCUGCAA